rnacentral:rRNA from 1 species
ACGGCCGCGGUAUCUUGACCGUGCUAAGGUAGCGAAAUCACUUGUCUUUUAAAUGAGGACCUGUAUGAAUGGUGGAACGAGGGCUUAACUGUCUCCUUUUUCAAGUCAGUGAAAUUGAUCUGCCCGUGCAGAAGCGGACAUAAAUAUACAAGACGAGAAGACCCUUUGGAGCUUAAGACAUAUAGUCAACUGUGUUAAAAGUUCUAAUCAAAAAAAUUAAACAAAACAAUAACUGACUCUGCGUCUUCGGUUGGGGCGACCGCGGGGGAAAACAAAGCCCCCACGUAGAAUGGGACACUCCCUAAAACCAAGAGAAACAUCUCUAAGUCACAGAACCUCUGACUAAAAGAUCCGGCUCAUGCCGAUCGACGAACCAAGUUACCCUAGGGAUAACAGCGCAAUCCCCUCCAAGAGCCCGUAUCAACAAGGGGGUUUACGACCUCGAUGUUGGAUCAGGACAUCCUAAUGGUG